rnacentral:rRNA from 1 species
GACGAGCGGCUGGCGGCGUGCCUAACACAUGCAAGUCGAACGGAGUCGGCCCCGCAAGGGACUGACUUAGUGGCGAACGGGUGAGUAACGCGUGAGCAACCUGCCUUUCAGUGGGGGACAACAGUUGGAAACGACUGCUAAUACCGCAUAAUGCAUUUUGACCGCAUGAUCGAGAUGCCAAAGAUUUAUUGCUGAAAGAUGGGCUCGCGUCUGAUUAGAUAGUUGGUGAGGUAACGGCCCACCAAGUCGACGAUCAGUAGCCGGACUGAGAGGUUGAACGGCCACAUUGGGACUGAGAUACGGCCCAGACUCCUACGGGAGGCAGCAGUGGGGAAUAUUGGGCAAUGGGCGCAAGCCUGACCCAGCAACGCCGCGUGAGGGAAGAAGGCUUUCGGGUUGUAAACCUCUGUCCUUGGUGACGAAAAAAAUGACGGUAGCCAAGGAGGAAGCCCCGGCUAACUACGUG